UACGGAGGAUGCAAGCGUUAUUCGGAAUGAUUGGGCGUAAAGGGUCCGCAGGUGGCAAUGUGUGUCUGCUGUCAAAGAAUGAGGCUUAACCUCAUCAAGGCAGUGGAAACUACAUAGCUAGAGUACGGUCGGGGUAGAAGGAAUUCCUGGUGUAGCGGUGAAAUGCGUAGAGAUCAGGAAGAACACCGGUGGCGAAAGCGUUCUGCUAGACCUGUACUGACACUGAGGGACGAAAGCUAGGGGAGCGAAUGGG
rnacentral:rRNA from 1 species